AGAGUUUGAUCCUGGCUCAGAACGAACGCUGGCGGCGUGGAUAAGACAUGCAAGUCGAACGAGAGAAUUGCUAGCUUGCUAAUAAUUCUCUAGUGGCGCACGGGUGAGUAACACGUGAGUAACCUGCCCCCGAGAGCGGGAUAGCCCUGGGAAACUGGGAUUAAUACCGCAUAGAAUCGCAAGGUUAAAGCAGCAAUGCGCUUGGGGAUGGGCUCGCGGCCUAUUAGUUAGUUGGUGAGGUAACGGCUCACCAAGGCGAUGACGGGUAGCCGGUCUGAGAGGAUGUCCGGCCACACUGGAACUGAGACACGGUCCAGACACCUACGGGUGGCAGCAGUCGAGAAUCAUUCACAAUGGGGGAAACCCUGAUGGUGCGACGCCGCGUGGGGGAAUGAAGGUCUUCGGAUUGUAAACCCCUGUCAUGUGGGAGCAAAUUAAAAAGAUAGUACCACAAGAGGAAGAGACGGCUAACUCUGUGCCAGCAGCCGCGGUAAUACAGAGGUCUCAAGCGUUGUUCGGAAUCACUGGGCGUAAAGCGUGCGUAGGCUGUUUCGUAAGUCGUGUGUGAAAGGCGCGGGCUCAACCCGCGGACGGCACAUGAUACUGCGAGACUAGAGUAAUGGAGGGGGAACCGGAAUUCUCGGUGUAGCAGUGAAAUGCGUAGAUAUCGAGAGGAACGCUCGUGGCGAAGGCGGGUUCCUGGACAUUAACUGACGCUGAGGCACGAAGGCCAGGGGAGCGAAAGGGAUUAGAUACCCCUGUAGUCCUGGCAGUAAACGGUGCACGCUUGGUGUGCGGGGAAUCGACCCCCUGCGUGCCGGAGCUAACGCGUUAAGCGUGCCGCCUGGGGAGUACGGUCGCAAGAUUAAAACUCAAAGAAAUUGACGGGGACCCGCACAAGCGGUGGAGUAUGUGGCUUAAUUCGAUGCAACGCGAAGAACCUUACCUGGGCUUGACAUGUAAUGAACAACAUGUGAAAGCAUGCGACUCUUCGGAGGCGUUACACAGGUGCUGCAUGGCCGUCGUCAGCUCGUGUCGUGAGAUGUUUGGUUAAGUCCAGCAACGAGCGCAACCCCUGUUGCCAGUUAUCAGCACGUGAAGGUGGGGACUCUGGCGAGACUGCCCAGAUCAACUGGGAGGAAGGUGGGGACGACGUCAGGUCAGUAUGGCCCUUAUGCCCAGGGCUGCACACGUACUACAAUGCCCAGUACAGAGGGGGCCGAAGCCGCGAGGCGGAGGAAAUCCUAAAAACUGGGCCCAGUUCGGACUGUAGGCUGCAACCCGCCUACACGAAGCCGGAAUCGCUAGUAAUGGCGCAUCAGCUACGGCGCCGUGAAUACGUUCCCGGGUCUUGCACAAACCGCCCGUCA
rnacentral:rRNA from 1 species